ensembl:lncRNA
GUUCUAUCUUCCCACACCCUCUCUAUCGCUCUCCCUCUCUCUGACGUGUUCCACACGCAGCAUCAUGUCACAUUGAACAUGCUUAUAUAAUUGAAGCAGGGGCAGGCCCACAGAGUUCUCCUUCUCUCUCUCUCUCUCCUCCUCGCCUCAUUCACCUGCUCCCCGCGGGCGAACAAGAGAACAUGUCAACAUAGAUUUAAACGUAAUCAGGUGGUCACAGCGGUAAUGUGGGAACCAUAUGUGGAGGUGUUUCGUCGUUUUGUGUAUUAGAAGAUGAUGUCAUGAUUUGUGCGUGUGUGUGUGUGUGUGUGCACAUGCGGGUGGCCAAUAAACUCCAGAGCAAUAAGGAAUGAAUGAGUGAAUCUGUUAUUGAUCUGUCAGCGUUCGCUUGUCCCAUCACAUUCGUUAAUCAUGAGGGGAUUGUGUCCUAAUUUAAAGUAUGUGUGUGUAGGCCCGUUAAGUUCCACUUUAAUAAUGACACACCAUUGAUCCUGUGUCUAUUGAUCCAUUGGGUUUGUCAUACAAUAUUUCUUAAUUAGGGAAGAAAAUAAAGACCCACCCCAGACACACGCGUGUGGUGUUAGUGUAAUUGUGAUGUUGACAUACUUGUUUUGUAGUCCAGUGUUUGUUUGUCUGUGUGUUUGCGUGCAUGUGCAAGUGUGAAGCCAUGUGUGUGUGUUUGUGCAGGCACAUUUGUUUGUGUGUGUCUGUGCAUGCACGUGUGUGUGUGUGUGUGUGUGUGUGUGUGUGUGUGUGUGUGUGCGUGUGUGUGCAGUGCUCCGGUUAGUUUCCAUGGCGCUCUGUCGCUUCCGUCCCUCCAGCAGCACAGAGGAGGAGGUGGUGGAGGAGGAGGAGGUCUGGUUCACAUUAGCCCUUCCAACCCUCCGAGUGGGAAGCAUCUCCUGCCUGCACUCAGCUGCUGAGAACACCCCUCCUCUCCUCCUCCCCUCCUCCCCUCCUCCCCUCCUGUCCUCCUCUCCUCCUCCUGUCUGGCGGACGUCUGUCUCCUUCUCCUCCUCCUGCUCCAGUGCUGCCUUGUGACAACAUGCCCUCCUGUGUUCUUGUGUUGCAGAUAAAAUCGAGGAGGCGCAGAAAGAACUCAAAGACCCGACUGGCUCACCCAACGGAACUCUGGGGUCCAGGGUCUUUUCCCGCUGGGGCGUGUGGAGGGAAUUCCUCCCGUUCCCAUUCUUUUAUCGGGAUGUUCCGUGGUGUGUAACCUGAACUAGGGACCAGACGGGGAGGAUCGGAAAAACAUGAAUGGGGACGAGUGAAACUGGAGGUUAAUAUUAACAUGCAGCAGUUGGGGGCGGUAGAUUUACUAUUCGCGGAGGUAAAGACGUACUACUUUAUACUAAAAAAAGUAUAAAUGCUAAAAACUAAUUUGUUUGUGUAAUUGCUCGAUUAUUUUGUCUACAUCGUGACAUUUGAUGAAUGCGUUCAUUUAUUCAAAGCUCACUAUUUACUAAGCAAUUUUACUAUACAGCAGCAAGCUGGGGGGAUUCAUUCAGACUCUGAAUGUGUUUUCUGGCUGAACAGGAAAUGAAUCGAUGUCAAAUAUGUGACCCGUCUUCCUAUGAUUGCAAAACACUGUAGAACAUAAC